GAAACAGACGUCACACUUCGAACAAACUUUCUUCGAAAACAUCGUAAGUAAUUCAAAUCAAAAUACGUUGGCGCACUAGCGUGAUCUGACGGCUGCUUGGCCAAACUCGACGUCAGCCAUGUUGAACAUUCUCAGAUGUCAACAAGAAUGUCAUUGCAACACACGCACACAAAUUUACCUCCUCACUCACCUCGCUGUCGAUCGUGUUGUUUACAAAAGUUUACUCGGUUUUUUUCGAUAGACUUCACAGGGGAAUUAUUCAUACAAAUCGUAUUUCAAUCGUUGCGUGAAAGUUGGAAUCCGCCACGAAGAAACGCUGCAACAACGCAGU